GUGCGUAACGCGUAUGCAAUCUACCUUAUACAGGGGAAUAGCCCAGAGAAAUUUGGAUUAAUGCCCCAUAGUGUUAUCGAAUCGCAUGGUUUGAUAACUAAAGUUCCAACGGUAUAAGAUGAGCAUGCGUCCCAUUAGUUAGUUGGUAAGGUAACGGCUUACCAAGACAAUGAUGGGUAGGGGUCCUGAGAGGGAGAUCCCCCACACUGGUACUGAGACACGGACCAGACUCCUACGGGAGGCAGCAGUGAGGAAUAUUGGUCAAUGGGCGCAAGCCUGAACCAGCCAUGCCGCGUGCAGGAAGACGGUCCUAUGGAUUGUAAACUGCUUUUAUACAGGAAGAAACCCUCCCACGUGUGGGAGCUUGACGGUACUGUAGGAAUAAGGAUCGGCUAACUCCGUGCCAGCAGCCGCGGUAAUACGGAGGAUCCAAGCGUUAUCCGGAAUCAUU
rnacentral:rRNA from 1 species